rnacentral:rRNA from 1 species
UACGUAGGGGGCAAGCGUUGUCCGGAUUUAUUGGGCGUAAAGAGCGUGUAGGCGGCCAUGCAGGUCAGCUGUGAAAACUCGAGGCUCAACCUCGAGACGUCGGUUGAAACCGUAUGGCUAGAGUCCGGAAGAGGAGAGUGGAAUUCCCGGUGUAGCGGUGAAAUGCGCAGAUAUCAGGAAGAACACCCGUGGCGAAGGCGGCUCUCUGGGACGGUACUGACGCUGAGACGCGAAAGCGUGGGGAGCGAACAGG